rnacentral:rRNA from 1 species
AACAGGAUUAGAUACCCUGGUAGUCCACACAGUAAACGAUGAAUACUCGCUGUUUGCGAUAUACAGUAAGCGGCCAAGCGAAAGCAUUAAGUAUUCCACCUGGGGAGUACGCCGGCAACGGUGAAACUCAAAGGAAUUGACGGGGGCCCGCACAAGCGGAGGAACAUGUGGUUUAAUUCGAUGAUACGCGAGGAACCUUACCCGGGCUUAAAUUGCAGUGGAAUGAUGUGGAAACAUGUCAGUGAGCAAUCACCGCUGUGAAGGUGCUGCAUGGUUGUCGUCAGCUCGUGCCGUGAGGUGUCGGCUUAAGUGCCAUAACGAGCGCAACCCUUAUCUUCAGUUACUAACAGGUUAUGCUGAGGACUCUGGAGAGACUGCCGUCGUAAGAUGUGAGGAAGGUGGGGAUGACGUCAAAUCAGCACGGCCCUUACGUCCGGGGCUACACACGUGUUACAAUGGGGGGUACAGAAGGCAGCUAGCGGGUGACCGUAUGCUAAUCCCAAAAGCCUCUCUCAGUUCGGAUCGAAGUCUGCAACCCGACUUCGUGAAGCUGGAUUCGCUAGUAAUCGCGCAUCAGCCAUGGCGCGGUGAAUACGUUCCCGGGCCUUGUACACACCGCCCGUCAAGCCAUGGAAGCUGGGGGUGCCUGAAGUUCGUGACCGCAAGGAGCGACCUAGGGCAAAACCGGUGACUGGGGCUAAGUCGUAACAAGGUAACC